rnacentral:lncRNA from 1 species
AGCAAGAGGUGUCAUCAGCAUCUAGACGUAGCAACGUUGGUGAGUGCCUGGGCCCUGAGCGAGAUCCUUUUUCUUAUAAGAUCUUCCCAAGAACCAUGUGCCAUUAGAAUCCUGAAGGACAGAGAGGUUAAAUGACUUACUGAAGGUCAUAUAGCUAGUUAGGGGCCCCAAAGUUCCUGCUUUUUGGCAAUUUCUUCCAACAAGGGCUGUCUCUGACCACAGGAACAAGGCAAGACUAGCCAUCUCUCUAGUUUCGGCUCACAGUCGGUCAGAUAUUUGAGGAUGCCAUCCCUUCAUCCACUUCUCUUCAGCUGUUUCACUGGGUGCCGGCCCCUCACUAGUGGUCUCUCUGCCUCUAGAUCCUGACUAGUUCACUGAUACCUGUCUCAAAGCGUGGUGUCUUUCGCAGUGUGUCACCAAUGAGAAAGAGCAACUUGGAACAACUUCAGAAACCUGCUGGAGUUCCCGUUGUGGCUCAGUAGGUAAAGAACCCAACAUAGUGUCCAUGAGGAUGUGGGUUCGGUCCCUGGCCUUGCUCCAUGGGUUAAGGAUCUGGCAUUGCUACAAGCUGUGGUGUAGGUAGAUGUGGCUUGGAUCUGAGGUUGCUGUGGCUGCGGUGUAGGUUGGCAGCUGUGCCUCUGAUUCGACCCCUAGCCCAGGAACUUCCAUAUGCUGCAGGUGUGGCAGUAAAAAAAAAAAGAAAGAAGCCUGCAGAUGGUCAAGGUGGACAGAGAAAAAAAUUCUAGGGCCAUGGAUCGUUAUUUACCGCUCUUACCCCACUCUCCUGGUCCCACUGAGGACAGGACACACUAGACAGGAAAGAGAAAAUGAUUGUUCCAUUUUUUGGAGGCUGGUUUUAUUAAUGAAACCCUAUAUUGCACUACAUUUUCUCGACUAUAAAUUGGGUGAAUUAAACUACGGAUGAUCUUACCUUAUCUAUGUUCUGUGGCCCCAGGGAACAAAGCUAGUGACUCUGAUAAAACAUUAGAAGGAGGAAGACUUCUGCUCAUAUAAGGAGCUGCCUCUGCAGUCCACCCCGAUGUAGCAAGGGUUACCUUCAGUGACCACAUAAAGGACCUAGAGUAGUAACUCAUUAGGGAUGUUACAGAGGGUUGAUGGGUCACUUAUUGGCUCUGAACCUAGAUGUCCUUCUCUAUAAGAUGGGGAGAAUAACAUCUACCUAGCUGAGCGUGUAGUGUGCUUAGCACAGUGUCUUGGCAUGCAGUAGGCACUGAGAUAAAGCUAAGUGGGGUCGUUAUUAUUAUUGUUAAACUCUACUGGGUUGUGUUCUCUCAGAAUCAGUGCAGCUCUAGGAGUCUAUGGAAUUAUUAAUGUAUUUAUCUCAAAUCAGUCCAUUCUAAACUGCCUAUUACCUCAUCCUCAGAGAGACAUGUAUUACGAGGUAAUCUUCCAACCUUGGGAACCAUCCAGCCUGUGCAAGGGACAAGAGAAAACCCAUCUGCACAAUCAUAGAAGUGAAAAGAACCUUACACAUCGAAUCCAUUGAUUACCAAAGGGAAGUAGUUGGUCCCUGGAGCAACAUUUUCUAUGCAAAGGCUUUGAGGUUUAUUUUAAUGAGUAUGAGGGAAAAAAUGUAACAUAUAUCCAACUCACAGUUUUGCAAAUACUGUAACAGUAUUUAAGUUUAAAAAGGAAUCCAUUUUUUAAAAAUUAUAUAAGUUGAAGAAGUAACAUAUAGGUAUGAGUUUUAAAAAUCUGGGAGGUUGUAGGCAAAUUAUUAAAAUUUUGGAAACAAGCUCCAAUUCUUCCUUAGGAAACUAAGGGAGAGCAUCUCACCCUGUAAUCACACAGCCUGUCAGUGACAGUCUGGGACUAAAAUAGCACCUCUCACUUCUGAAACUAAAGAAGUUAAGACUUUGCAUGAAUUCUUUUCAUUUAAACUAUAUUAUUAUGAUUUACCCAUUCUCCUUAUUUCUUCCAUCAGUAUUUUAUUGUGGCUCACAAAUGGACAGAUGGAUUCUGUUUUCCGAAUUCCGAAUGGCUUUGGAUGCCCUUUUUUUUUUUUUUUUUUUUUUUUUUUGCUAUUUCUUGGGCCGCUUCCGCGACAUAUGGAGAUUCCCAGGCUAGGGGUCGAAUCGGAGCCGUAGCCACCAGCCUACGCCAGAGCCACAGCAACGCAGGAUCCGAGCCGCGUCUGCAACCUACACCACAGCUCACGGCAACACUGGAUCCUUAACCCACUGAGCAAGGGCAGGGAUGGAACCCGCAACCUCAUGGUUCCCAGUCGGAUUCGUUAACCACUGCGCCACGACGGGAACUCCCCCUUUUUUUUUUUUAAAGGCCAAAACUGUGGUGCAUAUAAGCUUCCAGGGGUAGGGGUCAAAUUGGAGCUGCAGCUGCAGGCCUACACCACAGCCACAGCAACACCAGAUCUGAGCCACAUCUGUGACCUAUGCCAUAGCUUGUGGCAAUGCUGAAUCCUUAACCCACUGAGUGAGGCCAGGGAUUGAACCCACAUCCUCAUGGACACUAUGUUGGGUUCUUAACCCACAGAGCCACAAUGGGAACUCCCUUGCUUUAGAUACUUCUUAUUGGUCAUUUCUGUUUUAAUGAUUUUUCCUACCUUGAACUUUUGGACUGGGUGCCUUGCUUUUCAGCCAACUACCACUGUCUGUUACUUUUGCCUCUGAAAGUAGGUUUUCCUUUUGUUCUGUCACUUUUCCAAGCUGCCUUUUUAAGACAGAGAAAUGUCAUUAUUUGUCUUAUCUAACAGUUCUCUGGAAAGCUCCUUUCUCAGGGCUUGUCAUUAUUUGACUUGACUUAAAGCUUGCUCUCUGUGAACAACUUUAUCCUCAGCAUGUUCGCCCAAAACAAUCAGCGGCAGUUGUUUAAGAUUUCAACUACCUGUGAAGGUGAUACCCAUUGAGCUCUGCAUGUACAUGGAAAAGACCCGAGAAAGACCUAAUUACUUAUCACCAGCUGACACUGGGAUUCUGUGCCAACAGAAUCUGAUAUAGUUAAGUCACAGUUUUAAACUGCCUGCCAGUUGCUGAAGGCAUGCCCCCACACAGACUUUGGGUCUCUGGGAAAAGGCUAGGGGACAUCCUGGUUCAAGGUAUUUAAGGAAAUCUCUGUCUAAUCAUUAGCUGACAAUGAAGCAAACUAAAUGGAGACUUAGGUGUUAUACAUGACCUAGAACACAGAUUUUAUAAAAUUGGCUCAGGAAAGUCACUGAGUAAGCAAACAUUAGCAACAAUAGCAGCAAUAAAAACAAUAAACACUGCAGAGAGAGAGAGUGUGUGUGUGUGGGGGGGGAUCUGAUUUUCAGAGUCACUACCUUAUGUUAUUUAAAACGUCUAGUUUUCCAUAAAAAUUUAUGGAACACAGAGGGAGACAGAAAAGUAUGGCUUAUACACAGGAAAAAAAAAAAAAGCAAUCAAUAGAAAGUAUUGCACUUGCUAGACAAAUAUUUUAAAUCAGUUAGUUAAAUAAAAAUAUGCUCAAAGCAGUAGGGAAACCCUCUCUCAAUAAUUAAAUUAUAGGAAAUAGAGGAUAUCAAUAAAGAGACAAAUUAUUAAAGAGAAUAAAAUAUAAAUCCUGGAGUUGAAAGGUGUAGUAACGAAAUGAAAAUUUCACUUUGAGGGGAGCGCAAUAGCAGAUGUGAACU